GCCUAGCCCAGAUGGAAGUGGAAAUCUUUGUUUGUAAAAAAUCUAUUUUUUUGUUGCCGGUGCAGAGCGACCAGCGGAAGCUCCUGCAGUGGCUUACAAAAAAAGAUUUUUGCAAACAAGAUUGUAACGGACAGCUGGAUUAGCU
rnacentral:sRNA from 1 species